rnacentral:misc_RNA from 1 species
GAUGAAGAACGUAGUGAAAUGCGAUACGUAAUGUGAAUUGCAGAAUUCAGUGAAUCAUCGAGUCUUUGAACGCACAUUGCGCCCCCUGGUAUUCCGGGGGGCAUGCCUGUCCGAGCGUCAUUGCUGCCCUCAAGCACGGCUUGUGUGUUGGGCCUCCGUCCUCCCGGGGGACGGGCCCGAAAGGCAGCGGCGGCACCGCGUCCGGUCCUCGAGCGUAUGGGGCUUCGUCACCCGCUCUUGUAGGCCCGGCCGGCGCUUGCCGACACAUCAAUCUUUUUUCCAGGUUGACCUCGGAUCAGGUAGGGAUACCCGCUGAACUUAAGCAUAUCAAUAAGCGGAGGA